AUUGAACGCUGGCGGCAUGCCUUACACAUGCAAGUCGAACGGCAGCAUGAUCUAGCUUGCUAGAUUGAUGGCGAGUGGCGAACGGGUGCGUAAUACAUCGGAACGUGCCCUGUAGUGGGGGAUGACUAGUCGAAAGAUUAGCUAAUACCGCAUACGACCUGAGGGUGAAUGUGGGGGACCGCAAGGCCUCAUGCUAUAGGAGCGGCCGAUGUCUGAUUAGCUAGUUGGUGAGGUAAAGGCUCACCAAGGCGACGAUCAGUAGCUGGUCUGAGAGGACGAUCAGCCACACGGGGACUGAGACACGGCCCAGACUCCUACGGGAGGAAGCAUUGGGGAUGUUUGGACAAGGGGCGAAGGCCUGAUCCAGCAAUGCCGCGGGGUUGAAGAAGGCCUUCGGGUGGUAAAGCACGUUUGUCCGGAAAGAAAUGGCUCUGGUUAAUACCUGGGGUCGAUGACGGUACCGGAAGAAUAAGGACCGGCUAACUACGUG
rnacentral:rRNA from 1 species